rnacentral:lncRNA from 1 species
CUGUCCAUUUCUUCCUCCUCUGAUGCAGAAAUCAAAGUUGUGAUUGGAUAUUUAGGAGUCAUUAUCAUGGAUGAUGAGUUCCAAUUGUUACAAAGAAAUGUCAUGGACAAGUACUAGCAGAAGUUUGAAAAUACGGAAGAGAAUGAACACGCCUAUUUUUAAUGAAUAUAUUUCUUUGAUUUAAAAAAUUGAUGAACAGCUGUUGUAGCAGAUUCCCAAAUUCAGCAUGGCAGCCCUCACAACGUCACAGCACCACAAAGAUGAAAGGGCUAGUUGCUUUUCAACAGGCUACACACAUUUAUCCAUUUACAGGCAUUUAAAGAAUGCUUCUUGACUAGAGGGUGGACAAAAAAGGUCAAGAAGUUACACGUCGGCAGUGGUUUAGUGGCAGCUUCUUUGUGCAGAUCAUAUUCUAUGUUAGCUUUUCAGAACAAUCUUG